GACGAACGCUGGCGGCGUGCUUAACACAUGCAAGUCGAACGGAAAGGCCCUGCUUUUGUGGGGUGCUCGAGUGGCGAACGGGUGAGUAACACGUGAGUAACCUGCCCUUGACUUUGGGAUAACUUCAGGAAACUGGGGCUAAUACCGGAUAGGAGCUCCUGCUGCAUGGUGGGGGUUGGAAAGUUUCGGCGGUUGGGGAUGGACUCGCGGCUUAUCAGCUUGUUGGUGGGGUAGUGGCUUACCAAGGCUUUGACGGGUAGCCGGCCUGAGAGGGUGACCGGACACAUUGGGAAUGAGAUACGGCACAGACUCAUACGGGAGGAAGCAGUGGGGAAUAUUGCACAAUGGGCGGAAGCCUGAUGCAGCAACGCCGCGUGCGGGAUGACGGACUUCGGGUUGUAAACCGCUUUCGCCUGUGACGAAGCGUGAGUGACGGUAAUGGGUAAAGAAGCACCGGCUAACUACGUG
rnacentral:rRNA from 1 species